rnacentral:lncRNA from 1 species
GUGGGUCGCCCUCAGCCCCUUUUGUGGCUUCUCUGCGUUUGGGUUAUUAUUAUUUUUGUAACAAUCCCAAAUCAAAUCCGUCUCCAAGGCUGGAGAGGCAGGGGCCAUGGGGGUAAGGAGAGCAACGAAUCUGUAAUGUUCAGAGGAGGAAGUUGGAGGGAUUAGAAAUGAAUGAGGAGCAAGGGCUGGUUUGUGGGUGGGGCUUAACACAGCCCUCCUUCCAUUUUUACAGCAGAUGUGGCCCCAAAGGAACCUGGGAAUGGAAGCAGGGGCUAGUGGUGGCUCUUCCUCUGCUGGCCCUGCACUACAGACAGGGAGAUGGGUGUCACACUGCCACCUCUCUUCCAUUACAUAAGGAAGAAAUGAGAAGGAUAGUGUUCAGAGAUGUGAUCUGAAGAUAGCAUGCAGCCACACAAGAACCCAGGGCUUCACCGUGUUCCUCCCAGUGAGAGUAGAUUUCCAGAGAGGGUGGUGGAAUCAGCCCUGUUCACCCAUUGCUCCCACACAGUGAAUGAAGCUAGGCUCUUUUAACAGAAUCUGCCCUUGGGGGACAGUAGGGCUCAGUCUUCUCUCCCAGCUCCAGCAGCUGUGGAAGAGGCAGCUGUGGACCUGAACAACGUCUGCUGCCCCCACCUCGGAGGGGCCCCUCACUCUUACCCGAGCCCCUGGACUGUUGCACGGCAACCGCUCCUCUUAUGGCAUUGCUCAGCAACUACUCCUCCACCCUGUGUCACCCCGUGCCCUCUCCGGUUCCCUGUGCCAGCCCUCGGUCCCUCCUCCCUCAGCAGCCAGGCAGACAUGACAACAAAAUUACU